UACAGAGGGUGCGAGCGUUGUCCGGAAUCACUGGGCGUAAAGGGCGCGUAGGCGGCCUGAUAAGUAGGGGGUGAAAUCCUGUGGCUUAACUGCAGGGCUGCCUCCUAGACUGUUAGGCUCGAGCACGGUAGAGGCAGAUGGAAUUCCCGGUGUAGCGGUGGAAUGCGUAGAGAUCGGGAAGAACAUCGGUGGCGAAGGCAGCUCGCUGGGACGGUACUGACGCUGAGGCGCGAAAGCGUGGGGAGCAAACAGG
rnacentral:rRNA from 1 species